AUCUUAAAUUGGAAAUUUCAUAAAAAAUCAGUUUUCUUGUAUAUACCGGGGUGUAUGCAUCUUCUGUUCACAGAUAUGGUCUUCAAAAGUAGAAGAUGGUGUUCAUUUUGAAUGAACGUUCCAUUAUUAACUCUUUUGUUCCAGAUUCUUCCAGUUCACCGCAGACUAAAAUCAUCACCAUUUUUCAACUUGCUUCCUAAACUAAUCUUUUCUGUUUCAGAUAAUCUUCGAUUGUAUCUUAAUAUUUUAAUCAAUAUUUUAUUUCAGGAUAUGCCUUUAAUUAUAUUUCAUUUCAUUAACAAAUAUUUUAACAAUUUAUAUUACCUUUAAAUUUGUACAGUGUCGCAAAUUUUUAUUUCGUACCAAUAUUUCUGUGCAUUCACAUUAAAAUGUGUGUACAUAAUCCUUUGAACUGUUACAGGCUCCCUAUAUUUAGCGAAAUUAGGAAACCAGACUAAAAAUAUUCUGGGAAAUCCUGCAUCAAACGUAUUCAGCGAGGAGUUUAAAAAGGAAGAGAACGACCUCGCUGAGAAUGACUUCAUCAAAAACAUCUGCUCCAAAAUUCAGGGCGAAAAACCGGCGGGAUGCCUGGGUAGUGGUGGGGCUGAAACGUUUUUUAUUCUUAAUGUAGGACUUUUACUACUGAUAACAACAUUUACCAGUUACCUUUAUUAGGCUUUGUUAGGUAAGAGGAAGUCAUCGUUGUUUUUUCAUUAUAUUAGUCGUUUAUACAGGGUGUUAGUAGGACGGAGCUCGCAACAGGCAAGUUUUCGAGGUUAUCCAAAAUAAAACUUUAGAAAGAUGGACAACAU
rnacentral:lncRNA from 1 species